UGGGGAAUAUUGCGCAAUGGGCGAAAGCCUGACGCAGCGACGCCGCGUGAGGGAUGAAGGUUUUCGGAUCGUAAACCUCUGUCAGAAGGGAAGAAACCGCACUGUGCUAAUCAGCAGUGCCUUGACGGUACCUUCAAAGGAAGCACCGGCUAACUCCGUGCCAGCAGCCGCGGUAAUACGGAGGGUGCAAGCGUUAAUCGGAAUUACUGGGCGUAAAGCGCACGUAGGCUGCUUUGUAAGUCAGGGGUGAAAUCCCACGGCUCAACCGUGGAACUGACUUUGAUACUGGUUAGCUUGAAUCCGGGAGAGGGUGGCGGAAUUCCAGGUGUAGGAGUGAAAUCCGUAGAUAUCUGGAGGAACAUCAGUGGCGAAGGCGGCCACCUGGACCGGUAUUGACGCUGAGGUGCGAAAGCGUGGGGAGCAAACAGG
rnacentral:rRNA from 1 species